rnacentral:rRNA from 1 species
GACGAACGCUGGCGGCGUGCUUAACACAUGCAAGUCGAACGGAAAGGCCCUGCUUUUGUGGGGUGCUCGAGUGGCGAACGGGUGAGUAACACGUGAGUAACCUGCCCUUGACUUUGGGAUAACUUCAGGAAACUGGGGCUAAUACCGGAUAGGAGCUCCUGCUACAUGGUGGGGGUUGGAAAGUUUCGGCGGUGGGGGAUGGACUCGCGGCUUAUCAGCUUGUUGGUGGGGUAGUGGCGUACCAAGGCUUUGACGGGUAGCCGGCCUGAGAGGGUGACCGGCCACCUUGGGACUGCGAUACGGCCCAGACUCCUACGGGCGGCAGCAGUGGGGAAUAUUGCACAAUGGGCGGACGCCUGAUGCAGCAACGCCGCGUGCGGGAUGACGGCCUUCGGGUUGUAAACCGCUUUCGCCUGUGACGAAGCGUGAGUGACGGUAAUGGGUAAAGAAGCACCGGCUAACUACGUG